rnacentral:rRNA from 1 species
UACAUAGGGUGCAAGCGUUGUCCGGAAUUAUUGGGCGUAAAGCGUAUGUAGGUGGUUAAAUAAGUCAGACGUGUAAGCCCUCGGCUCAACCGAGGAAUUGCGUUUGAAACUGUUUAACUUGAGUACAGGAGAGGAAAGCGGAAUUCCCAGUGUAGCGGUGAAAUGCAUUGAUAUUGGGAAGAACAUCGGUGGCGAAGGCGGCUUUCUGGCCUGUUACUGACACUGAGAUACGAAAGCCAGGGGAGCGAACGGG